UACGUAGGUGGCAAGCGUUAUCCGGAAUUAUUGGGCGUAAAGAGCGCGCAGGUGGUUGAUUAAGUCUGAUGUGAAAGCCCAUGGCUUAACCGUGGAGGGUCAUUGGAAACUGGUCGACUUGAGUGCAGAAGAGGGAAGUGGAAUUCCAUGUGUAGCGGUGAAAUGCGUAGAGAUAUGGAGGAACACCAGUGGCGAAGGCGGCUUCCUGGUCUGUAACUGACACUGAGGCGCGAAAGCGUGGGGAGCAAACAGGAUUAGAUA
rnacentral:rRNA from 1 species